CCACCCCACCGUGGGGUCUGGUUGCCACCGGGCUAGAUGAAAUUUUGCCCCUUCCCUCUGCUCCUCCUCUUCCUCUGCAGCCUCAUGCAAGCGCUGCCGGAACGGCUGAAUGGAAAGGUUUCCGUGUGCCACAGUGUGUCUUUUUUUUCUCUCCUAAAUAGAGAAGUUGCUCCAAAAAGAGUCAAAAGAAAAUCCCAAAGAAGCCAUGCGAGUUUUCCCUUCAGUGUUGGAUCAGGACAAAGCAGGGUGGAAGGCGCAUUUUUGACGGAAGGUACGGUGAUGCUCCCGUGACCAGAGGACGAGCCAGCUGAAGCGUGCAAAGCGCGGAAGGGUAUGACCAGCUCUUUAGCCUGCAGGUUUUCAAGGUGCUUCAGCUAAAAUCAUGGUUAUGCAGGAGAUACGAAUUACUGGUCUUGGUUUUUCGCCUUCCUUCAAGUCUGAAUCCAGGUUUUCUAAGGUGGCCUUUUUCUCUUCCCUGCCUCCAGUGCUUCUUCCUUGAGGUGUGGACACUGGGACAUCCACGGUACUCAAAGACAUGAUGAGCAUGCUCAACUUUUAUAUCGCUGCAAAACGAUGCUGUCUUGGCUCCUGCUGCACAAUGUCCUGAUGAUUUCUGAGAACCAUCACCGACCACUCCAAGAUCCCUUUCCAUAGGUGUCAGUGCUUGUUCUGAGUUCAGAUUUUACUGAGUUGGAAGAAGAUUUCUCCAAGAGCUGCAAGGUGCCUUCAUCUCAGCAACACGCUGUAUAAACUGUCAUCUUCAAAGCUGGUGACAAGCUGACAUCUUUCUAAUGAGAGCCUAACACAUUAGCACUGCUGCCCCAAGGCAGGCAGAAGAGCUCUUUCACAAACGCUGCAAAUGAAACCCAGCGUGUCCUUGUAAUAUGAGCUAGUGAUGUGGGGGGAAGGAGGAACCUGCCACUGACAGCUGGCAAUGAAGAUGUUCAGUUCGGUGGGAAAACUGGAUGCAGGUCAGAAAUGUACCGUGAGCUCUCUCCGUGUGCUCUGAAGCAUCUGUAUUGAAUCUCCACCUUGCUUUUUUUCUGUGACAUAAAUGAAACCUUGGCCACUGGGAAGCUGAUUUUUAGUGACAAAAAUAGAUUCCUUUAUUUAGUUCAUAAGGCAGCGGGCGGCGUUUAUCCCAGUCUGUGUUUUGAGAGGCAUCAGAAAUGAUGUGACUGGGAGUUUGUACACAGCUGCAACUUCCAUGUUGGUGAACGUCUACUUAAAGCAGCAUUUUGAGACCCCCAGCUGUGCCUCCGCAGCUCCUUCCUAAUGCCUUUCUGUACUACGGAGAGAAAAAGUACCAGAAUGUUGAUUUUCUCUGCUUUCCCAAAACAACGUUGAAUUAAUUACUGUCUGUGGGGAAGAGAUGCAAAACAAAGCCUAAAGAUAAAACUACUCGCAAAUAUGUCUGCUGGCUGCCUGAACUGCAGCCGUUCCCUCACCUUGUGAUCAAUACUGUGUGCGCAAUAACAGCUUAUUGACAGUUCAUUAAAUAAUUCUUCCCUGUGUUUUUGUGUAAUUUUGCGUGAAUAGACAACAUUAUCUUUUAUUGUCUGCUGUCUAACCACACAUGUUGGUUCUGGCACAGCUUGCUUGUUCACAGGAGAAUAAGCAGUUCAGAGUAGAAAAAUCCAUAUUCCAUCAACAGCCCUUGUAAUUCUACCAGCUCCCCUGCACAAAUCCCUCUAGUGACACCGUGAAAAUUACCUUCUGGAAGUUGUUUGUUGGGCUAUUAGGUUUGUAUGCUCUUUCUUAGCAAAGAAUACGCGUAACUUUCUAUUGAUAGAUCUUAAAAUUGUUUGUCAUAUCAUGUCAACUGCUUGGAGGCGUGAGCUGGUGCAGAGCCUAAAAAUAGCUGCCUGAAGAUGACUGGACUGGCCUAAAGCCAGGCUGGGAUCAAGGAGGAAUAAAUGUGACUGAAAUUCACUUUUGCUCACUCGUGUCCUAAACUCUGACUGAAGACUGGAUGAAACUAAUUGAAAGGAUGAGGCUGUGUAUGAAAAAGAGUGAGAAUGAGAAGAGAGAGAAGUCUUUACUCCAGCUCCCCCGUUGUUCUCAUCACUGACUAUGGUAGCACAUUGGCCACAUUUUAGGCACUACAGAGUCUGGAAAACAAAGAAGUUGGCAGUCACCGCAGAAAUCCGUGGAAGGUUGUUUCCCCAAAUGAAGAGUAAGAGAAGGAGGUGGAGAGGGAGCUGCCUACCUCCUUCCCAAAAUGCAGGAGGUAGUUUGGAGGUGGAGAGGGAGCUCUUUCCCAAACUGCAGCUUUGUACAACAUCUUUUCUGUGGUUGAACCCUUCUUUAAAGAUAGCGCGGCACGUUCCUGAGCUAAUUGGGCAACUGAGUCACAUGAAAUCAUCGGAAUCACCAUAGCGAUAACAAAUACAUCAUCUGGGAAAAAAUCAGCUGUUUAAGAUGGACCAUCAGUGCCCCUUAAAUAGAUGCUUGCUUAACAUUUGGGAUUUGGAAAUCUCCAUGAAUAGCAAUUCUAAUGAAUGCAAUGCCAAGUAAUACCAGCUCCUCGUGUGGCUGGCUUUGACAUUUCCAGGCAUAGCCUCUCUCCUGGGCCAUCAUUUUGCACCCACACUUGUCUGACAACUUGCUGAAGAAAUGCAUCCAAACAGACAAUGAAAUGCCGGGAUGAUUUAUGCAGGAGGGAAGUAAACAAAAUAUCACCGAGAAUAAAACCUUUUCAAAUGCAACUAUAAAAAGCAAUAUCAGACAGUUCCAAGUGCUGGAAAAUCGCUUUUCGCACUGCCGCUUGGCUCAUUUCAGUUCACUCUUUUGGGAUAAGAUUUUUCUUAGUGAGGUUUGACCGGACUUUGAUUUAAACAUCUGAAGGCUCCACAACAAAUGGCACUAGGCAUUUGGUGCUGUUCAUGUUUGGACAGUUAGCUCAUAGUCAUGGCACAGAGAGUGAUUUCCUUAGAAAUCUGCUGAGAAGAAAGACAUUCAGUAAAUCGGUAGGACAGGGACUGUGAAAGUGUCAAGUUUUCUGUCCUGUUCUAUUGCUCAGUUUUCAUAAACUAUAAUUACGUUUGCCCAUAUUACAGCUAGAAAUUGUUUUGCCUAGGAAGUUCUCCAUACUUUAAUUUUCACUUGGACUCAUAGUAUCGUCUCCCUUCAAAUAAAUCAUUGGUUCCCAGUGUUAAUCUUUGUACGUUCUCUCGUUUUGUCUUUUCCCUUCAUCCCACGCACCUCUCUCUUAAUAACAAAAUGCAAGAAUGAAAUGCAAAUGGUGAUUUGCCCCGUUUUACCCAGACAAUAUGUCGAGGAGCUAUGCACAAAAUCUGUGCUGUGCUGUUCAAACAACUGACACAUUCAGUUGAGCAUGGGAGGAACACUGAAGAUGAUGUGCAAACGGUAAAGAGGUCACUUUCUUCAAGAUAAAGUGGA